rnacentral:rRNA from 1 species
AGAGUUUGAUCCUGGCUCAGGACGAACGCUGGCGGCGUGCCUAAUACAUGCAAGUCGAGCGGACCGAAUAGAAGCUUGCUUCUGUUUGGUUAGCGGCGGACGGGUGAGUAACACGUGGGCAACCUGCCCGUAAGACGGGGAUAACUUCGGGAAACCGGAGCUAAUACCCGAUAACCCUGAAGACCGCAUGGUCUUUAGUUGAAAGGCGGCUUCGGCUGUCACUUACGGAUGGGCCCGCGGCGCAUUAGCUAGUUGGUGAGGUAACGGCUCACCAAGGCGACGAUGCGUAGCCGACCUGAGAGGGUGAUCGGCCACACUGGGACUGAGACACGGCCCAGACUCCUACGGGAGGCAGCAGUAGGGAAUCUUCCGCAAUGGACGAAAGUCUGACGGAGCAACGCCCGCGUGAGCGAAGAAGGUCUUCGGAUUGUAAAGCUCUGUUGUUAGGGAAGAACAAGUGCG